rnacentral:rRNA from 1 species
AGUGAACGCUGGCGGUAGGCCUAACACAUGCAAGUCGAACGGCAGCACAGUAAGAGCUUGCUCUUACGGGUGGCGAGUGGCGGACGGGUGAGGAAUACAUCGGAAUCUACUUUUUCGUGGGGGAUAACGUAGGGAAACUUACGCUAAUACCGCAUACGACCUACGGGUGAAAGCAGGGGAACUUCGGACCUUGCGCGAUUGAAUGAGCCGAUGUCGGAUUAGCUAGUUGGCGGGGUAAAGGCCCACCAAGGCGACGAUCCGCAGCUGGUCUGAGAGGAUGAUCAGCCACACUGGAACUGAGACACGGUCCAGACUCCUACGGGAGGCAGCAGUGGGGAAUAUUGGACAAUGGGCGAAAGCCUGCUCCAGCCCUACCGCGUGGGUGAAGAAGGUCUUCGGGUUGUAAAGCCCUUUUGUUGGGAAAGACAAGCAGCAGGUUAAUACCCCGCUGUUCUGACGGUACCCAAAGAAUAAGCACCGGCUAACUUCGUG